rnacentral:lncRNA from 1 species
CUAACCAGUAAAGGAUUUUUGUAUCGUUCCCUAGUGUGGGCACAUCACAUGAUGACUGUCGAUCUAGAAGUUGAUACACGUACAUACUUCUCAGCUAUGACAAUUAUGAUUGCAUCGCAAGCCACUGAGAUUACGAAUUAUGGUUGUGGGCUUGUGAGUGUCUCUCAAUAACUAGCUGCGUGCCUGUAUGAUAAUUCUAUCGAUGCAUUACCAAUUAAGGUGUGUAGCAUUUCCUUGUAAAUAUCGUGGCGGCGAUUUCGAACCAGUUCGAUGACGAACUUCUCAGGGAAACCAAAGUUUUCUCUUGCCAUGAUUCCGGCGUUGAGGGAAAUUAAAGCGUGAUCAAUGACUGACCACCUCCAUGGCACGUUCUCCAGCCACUGGCGUCCUGUCGCUCCCUUUUCCCGUCUUUCACUGAUUGCUGACGAUUAGCAUUUUCCACUCGCAGGAGGCUCCUGAGGUUUCUAUAGUUAAAGAAGACCUACGGACUAGUAUUUGAUCAUAUGUGCCUUCGAACGUUGCUGUGCGCCAAGACAGAGCGAAGUGGGUCAGCCAGAAACGUUGGUUCCGCUGUUGCGUCACAGGUUGCGCACCCAUUAAAAUAUAACGGAAAGUGUUUGAUGAUCAUGCAUGUUCGUUCUGAUUGGACGGAGUCAAGCAAUGGAAAACGGCACAUCUCGUGAAUUCCUGGAUCCGCAUUUGUGCCGGUUGCCCUGGAAGUGCUGCCGCACAAUCGAGGAGCUGAUCUUCGACGGCAAAGCGCAGCCCCCGAUAAAGUAUGUGUGUGCCUUGACACCUCAGGAUGUUUCCGAGAUGAACAGCAAGAAUUAGCGGGCUUGUCAUAGUAUGCAAUAGUAGGGGCUAAUCUGUUGUCAUAGGUUCUCGCGCUACGCUCAGACGCACUUCGUUUUUGCCACGGCCACAGAAGGCUUCCUGGCUCGACCAUGAAACUGACACGACGCUUCGGGGCGUUGCCGAAUGCCUUCGAGUGUCAGAGAGGCUCAUCGGAAUUCAAGGAGUCCGCAUAAAUGGUCCCUCCUUCC